rnacentral:piRNA from 1 species
UCCAUGCCUCUGGGAAUGUGAUACUGCUG